GGGCUUGUAAAGGUUUCGACGGGGGUCUUGAAGUCGGGGAAGCCAUCCGUGGUCCCACCACGUUAAAAGGGAAACUUAAAUAUAAACGCAGACAACAAAACUGUUGCCUUAGCAGCUUAAGCUGCUUCGUCGGCCCGGGGGUACCCGUAACCUCGGAUCACCGGCGUCAUCCUUACGGGAAACGACACGGUCAAAGCUUUGAGAUCGCGGGCGUAAUAUGAAGCUACUGAUUUCAGGAGGACGUCAUUCGCCGACUGAUUGAGGGAAUGUAAAAGGAAUGACUGUGAUGGGAGAUGCCCUUAUGGAUGGGCUUUCGGACGCGGGUUCGAUUCCCGCCAGGUCCAUAC
rnacentral:tmRNA from 1 species